GAAAAUAUGUCUUUUAUUCCCAUCCAAACUCUCAGUGUCAUUCCACUGAAAUGUUAGCUCCGCAAAUGAAACAGGUUCAUCCUUAUCAUCCACAAAUUCAUAGUUAGAGACAGUACUUGGGACUGCUUCAGCUUCAUCAUCAGAAGAUGCCAUUCCCACUUCCCCCAAUGCUCUGGGGCAACACCUGACUGUGUAUAGAACGAAAUCGAAACGACGGCGAAGUCGCCGGAGAAUUGCGGUGGCGCGCGCAACGGAGAAACCCUAUUUAAGAGUAUCCGGUGGUGGUAGAGAGUGAAAUGUGAGAAACUCGGAACUAGCAGAAAUUUAACGA
rnacentral:misc_RNA from 1 species